UACGAAGGGGGCUAGCGUUGCUCGGAAUCACUGGGCGUAAAGGGUGCGUAGGCGGGUCUUUAAGUCAGGGGUGAAAUCUCGGGGCUCAACCCCGAAACUGCACUGGAUACUGCCUUGCUCGAGUACUGGAGAGGAGAUUGGAAUUUACGGUGUAGCAGUGAAAUGCGUAGAUAUCGUAAGGAAGACCAGUGGCGAAGGCGACUACCUGGCCUGUUCUUGACGCUGAGGCGCGAAAGCUAGGGGAGCAAACGGG
rnacentral:rRNA from 1 species